rnacentral:rRNA from 1 species
AUUGAACGCUGGCGGCAUGCCUUACACAUGCAAGUCGAACGGCAGCACGGGAGCAAUCCUGGUGGCGAGUGGCGAACGGGUGAGUAAUAUAUCGGAACGUGCCCAGUCGUGGGGGAUAACGCAGCGAAAGCUGUGCUAAUACCGCAUACGAUCUAAGGAUGAAAGCGGGGGAUCGCAAGACCUCGCGCGAUUGGAGCGGCCGAUAUCAGGUUAGCUAGUUGGUGGGGUAAAGGCCCACCAAGGCGACGAUCUGUAGCUGGUCUGAGAGGACGACCAGCCACACUGGAACUGAGACACGGUCCAGACUCCUACGGGAGGCAGCAGUGGGGAAUUUUGGACAAUGGGCGCAAGCCUGAUUCAGCAAUGCCGCGUGCAGGAUGAAGGCCUUCGGGUUGUAAACUGCUUUUGUACGGAACGAAACGGCCCUUUCUAAUACAGGGGGCUAAUGACGGUACCGUAAGAAUAAGCACCGGCUAACUACGUGCCAGCAGCCGCCGUAA